CACCGUACGUGCAUUUCAGCUCAUCUUCUCCACUGCUUGGAGUCUGAGGUGAAAAUGCGCGAAUUUCUCC
rnacentral:pre_miRNA from 1 species